GAGAAAUUUGUGUUUGAAAAAAAAUUCUGUAAUCCUAGGUGGGCAGUGGUGAUAAUAAAUUGAUGAUGAAAAUGUGAGCAAUAAAGGAGUUGGCAGUAGUUUCCCCUCUUUAAAGAGACAGAGACCAAGUUGGCUUGCUCGGCGAUGAAUCGUUCCCCGGGUAGCUCUGUCUCUGUUUCAUUUCCCAAGAUUCGUCAGAUAGUCGUCAUUUAUUUUACUACUCUCUCUCUCUUGUUUCUUUUGCAUUUCCAAUUUCAAAAUCUCUUCUACUGUAUGACUCCACGGAAUCAAAGCUUUCCCAAAGAUGGUUUCUGAAUUUUCAACAACUUUAAAAGCCCCAUAAAUACAUUACACUAAAACACACAUCUCAGAACUCACACAUACAUAUAUGUAUCCAUCAAGAAAGCACUUGUGUAAUUGUAAAUUUUCUCUUUCUCUGUUUAGUUUGCAUCAGCUUGUGCAUUCACAUAUUUGGUUCUUCAUCAUAAUGGAAACAUGUAAUAUCUAUUCUCUGUAAAGAGAGUCUCACACAGUGACAGAGAGAAUCCAUAGCUAGCUUCUCUUGUCAUCACUUCUUCUCGUUAACUGUUCCAGCACAUCUCUUAUCUAUUUCUAUUUCAUCAAGGGAAGGAAAUCAUCUUCCUCCUUCACCACCUUCACUCAUCCCUGCCAUUUCACUACACAACAAAUUUCAAUAAAUUCACAGUUACGUUUCAUAGCCUACCAGAUCGUAUCAUACACACAUACAUGCAUUUAUUUUUAAUGUACUCUUAAUCUAAAAAUAAUUUCAAUUAGAAAUCAUACUUUAUAUUUAAAAUAAUUUGUAUUAUAUAUCAAAAGUUCACAACUCUCCAAUGCUAGUUUCAGUUUAGUUAUUAGUUUAAUAGUAGGCUUGUUAUUCAGGAUUACUGUUUAAAAAAGCUGACACGACUUUUAGAUGUAAGAAAAGGUUCUUAUACAAAUAGUAAUUAGUUCUCUUAAUUAGGAUUUAUUUUUGUGUAAUAAUAUUAAAGAUUCAUUUUGACUGAGUUCUUAUGUGAUUUGAAUAAACAGUUGUCGAAGUUGUUAAAUAUAAUAUUGGGUAUUAUAAAAUCACUAAAAAUGAGUUAAGAACGUCGAGUAUAAGUGCACUAUAUAGAGAUGUUCUUACAAAUUUUGUAAAAUUAAUUUUGAAAUAUUGUGAUUUAUGUUCAGAGUUUUUAUUUAAAAAUUAAGUUAAUAUAGUAAAAAUUAGUAUAGUUUUAUUUUAACUAAUAAAAACAAUUUAAAGUCACUAAAAAUCAAGAUCAAUCAUUAAAUUUAAUUUCUCAACAUCUAUUUAAAAUCACAUUAAUUAAUAUUUUAAUCUAAUUUUGAAUGUUACUAAGUAAAGCCAUAUAUAAAAAUGUUUUAUGAGUGAGUGAAUAUGAAACCUACCUUUUAGGUUUUUUACUGCAAAGAAUUUCACUUGGUAACUGUUGAAUUACCUGUAAUACAAAUUUCAUUCAGAUCAGAUUCAUGAAA
rnacentral:lncRNA from 1 species